ACUUAAAUAAUUUAAAAAAAAUAUUGAUUUGUGGUGUCAAAAAUAUGAUUUAUCUCAUUUUAGGUU
rnacentral:tRNA from 1 species